rnacentral:rRNA from 1 species
CCUACGGGUGGCAGCAGUGAGGAAUAUUGGUCAAUGGGCGCGAGCCUGAACCAGCCAAGUCGCGUGAGGGAAGACGGUCCUAUGGAUUAUAAACCUCUUUUGUCGGGGAGCAAAAGACGCCACGCGUGGCGUUCCGAGAGUACCCGAAGAAAAAGCAUCGGCUAACUCCGUGCCAGCAGCCGCGGUAAUACGGAGGAUGCGAGCGUUAUCCGGAUUCACUGGGUGGAAAGGGAGCGUAGACGGCCAUGCAAGCCAGGGGGGAAAGCCCGGGGCCCAACCCCGGGACUGCCCUUGGAACUGCAUGGCUGGAGUGCGGGAGGGGCAGGCGGAAUUCCUGGUGUAGCGGUGAAAUGCGUAGAUAUCAGGAGGAACACCGGCGGCGAAGGCGGCCUGCUGGACCGCGACUGACGUUGAGGCUCGAAAGCGUGGGGAGCGAACAGGAUUAGAUACCCCAGUAGUC